AAUCCUCCUGCUUCAGCCUCCCAAAUGCUAGGAUUGUAGCUCACCGGAUUUGAGUUGAGAGAAGACUUCCGUCAGUCAGAAAAUGAAGGAGCCUAAAACAGCAUCCAUCUCACCCCAGAGACGGAACAAUCCAUUUCAUAAAUACGGCAUUAAAGCUGAAAUAUACAGGCUGUAACUCUAAGGAGAUCCGCCAGCUGGUGUGUGAGAAGCGGCUGCAGCGGAUGCUGAGUGAAGACUGCUCUCCCCCGCUGCAGGAGGUCAUUAAGGAGUGCCGGGCCUACCAGCCUUCUGAGCAGCUCUCUGUGGACAAAAUCCUAGAGAAACUGUCUGCCUUUACUGAUAGUGUGUGAAAACCUGAAGCCAGCAGUCCUGGACAAGCAGCUGAGAGAAACACAAAUUGGAUGUCUCCGACCUGAAAAUGUCAAUAAACGAUCUCCUGUGUUCACACCUCUUGGCAAUGUGACUUUUGUACUUGUACCAUUAAGCAGUGCAGUCUCACAGUGCCCACCUGUAAUUGUAGCACACAGGAGGCUGAGGCAGGAGGAACACCAGGAGUUUGAGGCCAACCUGGA